rfam:Rattus norvegicus chromosome 5, whole genome shotgun sequence.
GGGGACUUAGCUCAGUGGUAGAGCGCUUGCCUAGCAAGCGCAAGGCCCUGGGUUCGAUCCCCAGCUCCG